UACAGAGGUCCCAAGCGUUGUUCGGAUUUACUGGGCGUAAAGGGUGCGUAGGUGGCGGGGUAAGUCUGGUGUGAAAGCUCCGAGCUCAACUCGGAAAAGCAUUGGAAACUAUCCCGCUGGAGGGUCGGAGGGGAGACUGGAAUUCUCGGUGUAGCAGUGAAAUGCGUAGAUAUCGAGAGGAACACCAGUGGCGAAGGCAGCACUCUGGGACGUGACUGACGCUGAGACGCGAAAGCGUGGGGAGCAAACAGG
rnacentral:rRNA from 1 species